rnacentral:rRNA from 1 species
GGAGGAAAGCAGGGGAUCGCAAGACCUUGCGCUCAUUGAGCGGCCGAUGCCUGAUUAGCUAGUUGGUGAGGUAAAGGCUUACCAAGGCGACGAUCAGUAGCUGGUCUGAGAGGACGACCAGCCACACUGGGACUGAGACACGGCCCAGACUCCUACGGGAGGCAGCAGUGGGGAAUUUUGGACAAUGGGGGAAACCCUGAUCCAGCCAUGCCGCGUGAGUGAAGAAGGCCUUCGGGUUGUAAAGCUCUUUCAGCCGGAACGAAACGGUCACGGCUAAUACCUGUGACUACUGACGGUACCGGAAGAAGAAGCACCGGCUAACUACGUGCCAGCAGCCGCGGUAAUACGUAGGGUGCGAGCGUUAAUCGGAAUUACUGGGCGUAAAGCGUGCGCAGGCGGUUUUGUAAGUCAGAAGAGAAAUCCCCGGGCUUAACCUGGGAACUGCGUUUAAAAUAGAAGGCUAGAAGGGC